rnacentral:misc_RNA from 1 species
GUGCAAUUUUUGGAUAAUCGCGUGAAGAGUCGUCUUUCAUUGAGGAAAGUCCAUGCUAGCACGGGCUGUGAUGCCCGUAGUGUUUUGCGUAGGUGAAAUAAGCCUAGGGACGAGAAAUCGUUACGGCGGACGAAACAGCUACGUCUCUGGAUAUGCUGGAAUAGUCCUGAAAGUGCCCCAGUGACGUAGUUUUUGUGGAAACGCAAAAAGUGGAACGCGGUAAACCCCUCAAGCUAGCAACCCAAAC